rnacentral:lncRNA from 1 species
AGAAUAUCUUAUUAAGGAUUAUGCAAAAUAACCUUCUACAAAUCCUGAUAUUAUUACACCGCCCCAAAAACUUCAAAGCAUCAGGAAAGUUUCUUUUCUUUUUUUUUUUUAACUAAACCAGAUUCAGCUGGCUACCCCACUUGGCUACAGAGUACUAAAGAAGAGACUGAACUUGAUCCUGCAGCCCUUGCAUACACAACACUCCCAUUGACUCUAGAGAAGACUUAAGUGCAUGAAAGGAUUCCAGGAUCAAAAGGCUUGUGUUCAGACCUGGGUCCCAACUGAUGAGCCUAUUGUUGGCAACUUGCAAAACAGCAGGAAUGACAGACAUGGUAGAUUCAUGGUCCAAAGGACCAGCGUCAGCGAGAGAUGGCUGGAGGAACAGCAUCUGAGCCAGGAGAUCUGGAAUGAGAAAAUUAGAUUAUAAGGUGAGCUAAAAAAAUUUAAAGAUUUAUAUGAUCUCUUAAGCUUUAAACUUUUAGGCUAUAGAUAUUAUUUAUAUAUUUAUAUACAUUUUAUGUAUUUAUUAUAUCAUGUCAUAUUUUGUCUUCUGUAUAGCUUAAAAUUUCCUUUAUUGCAGUGGAAAAGGUUGAACUGAGACAAUUUUCAGUGAUUACCUGAAAUACUGUGUUUAUACCUAAAGAAUAUAUUAACAUCUAUUUUAAAUUAUAGUUGGUUUAUAAUAUUAUAUUAA